GAUCAUGGCUCAGGAUGAACGCUAGCGACAGGCCUAACACAUGCAAGUCGAGGGGCAGCGGAGAGGUAGCAAUACCUUUGCCGGCGACCGGCGCACGGGUGAGUAACACGUAUGCAAUCCACCUGUAACAGGGGGAUAACCCGGAGAAAUCCGGACUAAUACUCCAUAAUAUGGGCUCUCCGCAUGGAGAGCCCAUUAAAGAGGGCAAUUUUGGUUACAGACGAGCAUGCGCCCCAUUAG
rnacentral:rRNA from 1 species